GGAGUCGGCCGUACAGUCGCUGCCGUGCUGCAAGCGCGGCGGAGGAAAGUCCGGGCUUCGCAGGGCAGGGUGCCAGGUAACGCCUGGGAGGCGCGAGUCUACGGAAAGUGCCACAGAAAACAGACCGCCGCCGGCUUUCUGGUCGGCGGUAAGGGUGAAAAGGUGCGGUAAGAGCGCACCGCGUCGCGGGUAACCGCUGGCGGCAUGGUAAACCCCACCCGAAGCAAGGCCAAAUAGGGAUGCGACGGCGCGGCCCGCGCUGCAUCCGGGUAGGCCGCUCGAGGCGGCUGGCGACAGCCGUCCCAGAUGAAUGACUGUUCUUGACAGAACCCGGCUUACAGGCCGACUCCUUCU
rnacentral:RNase_P_RNA from 1 species